rnacentral:lncRNA from 1 species
AGCUGGCAGUGGCAAUCCUCUCCGGUCCCCUUCCGGGCUGUGGGAGCUUUGUUCUUUUGCUCUUUGCAAUAAAUCUUGCUGCUGCUCGCUCUUUGGGUCCACAUUGCCUUUGUGAGCUGUAACACUCACGGCGAAGGUCUGCAGCUUCACUCCUAAAGCCAGAGAGACCACAAACCCACCGGGAGGAACGAACAACUCCAGACGCGCGGCCUUAAGAGCUGUAACACUCACCGCGAAAGUCUGCAGCUUCACUCCUAAAGCCAGCGAGACCACGAACCCACCAGGAGGAACGAACAAUUCCAGAUGCGCCGCCUUAGGAGCUGUAACACUCACCGCGAAGAUCUGCAGCUUCACUCCUGAGCCGGCGAGACCACGAACCCCACCAGAAGGAAGAAACUCCGGACACGCCGCCUUUAAGAACUAUAACACUCACGGCGAGGGUCCACGGCUUCAUUCUUGAAGUCAGUGAAACCAAGAACCCACCAAUUCCGGACACAGCAGGAUCCCACCCACAGAACCGCCAGGUGCACAGCUGCAUAUCCUCAGGGGAAAACUCCCCUCCCCUGCCACCUUACUGAUAGGCUUCACUUCCCAGAGAACUUUCCCAAUCCUGUGCAAUGCCUGAGUGGUACAUUGUAUUCUAUGAGAAUGGCGCCCCCGCCUCCAGAGUUGUGCAACAAGACUUCCAUGAAUCAAAGCCCAUCGCUGGCUGCCUCCUCUAGCCCUGCAUAGCCCAGGUACAUCUGAAAGGAGUGAGAAGUGUUUUGAGGGCUCUCCCUGUCUCUUCCUGCACCUCUCUCUUGUGAUCCCAGAAGCUACAACCUCAGCCCAGAUUAGCAGGCUGAGGGGUCAGGAGGCUGUCACUGGAGCUGUUGAGCUCAUGAACACGCCGAAGUUGCUGCGCUCCAGAAAUGUGGAAGUUGGAAUGAAGAGCCACCACUGCUGCCACCAACAUGAAGCUUGACCAAGCAAGCCAAGAAAAGAUGGCCAAGAGCCUCUGCCUUCCUUCUGCCUUCUGCAACGCAAUGAGAAGGCUACUUGGACCUAAAGGAAUGAAUUAGGAAGCGGUCUACUACCAAAGUACAAUGAAGGGCUCAAGGGCAGUGACUGCCCCACUCCACCACAGAGUGGGAGAGGGCUGGACCCCAGUGCCACUUUCGGCCACCCCUGGGCCACACGGCCACCCCUAUCCCUGGGACAGGGACUGCAGGGUCACACCCUCAAACAACCACGCCUCAGCCAUACUCGCGCCACACUUUCCAAGCCUGUCCCAGACCAGGGACAAGCCCCUAGUAGGGUUGGGGGAGGAGACUAGAACUAGAGAGGUGGGACACCAAGCAUGGGCACCCCUGCAACCUCGGCCACCCCCAGCAUGGCACCAUGCCCCUGAGCACCGCCAGCUUGGAAAGGCAUCGGAUGGAGACGGGCGCUUUUCGACGAGAUACCCGCCACUUGCUCUGGGAUCCCGGAGAGGGUGGGCAAGCGUGGACCAGGGAAGGAGGCCCCCAGGGGUGUUGGGAGGGAGUUUGAGAGGGAGGAAGUAAGAGAGACGGAUGGCAACGGAGACGCCAGGCAUGCGCGAGGGGGUGGACAAACCCUGUGUCCAGGGCUGACUUUGAAUAGAUGGCAGGGAGGGAGCUGCUCUGCUAUGUAUGAAACCACGACCUAAAAACUAAUUUCUGUAAGAUACACCAUAAAGGUAAAAAUAAUGCAAGUGUUCAGCUGACAGUAAGUAUAAAUGGUACUCAUUUUCAUUCUUAGCUGGUUCUGACCUUUAGCGAUCCAUAGAAAGUACAUUCAUGAAAAUAACCAGUUUUAAGCACACAAACAAUAAAAGCAUAUACACUUGAUAUAAAAUGGCCGUAAGUCAAGUAUUUUCAAAAUGUUUGAUUUCAGAACCUUUGAUGGUUCAUUAAGAUAGCAUAAAAACAACCUUCAGAAGAAAGGAAUAAGCUGAUAUACCCAGCAUCAUAUCUGAUGACACCUUACAACUCAAACAGGGCUUAGACAUUUUUAUCUUUUUUAAAAAUGCACUCUUAUAGCCUGGUGUGGUGGCUUAUGCCUGUAAUCCCAAUACUUUGGGAGGUCAAGGCAGGAAAACUGCUUCAGGCCAGCCUGGGCAACACAGCAAGACCCCACCUCUACAAAAAUUCUUUUAAAAAUUAGCCAGGCUUGGUGGCACAUGCCUUUCCUAGCUACUGGAGACGAUGACGGUGGAGGAUGGCUUGAACCCAGGAGCUCUAUGUUACAAUGAGCUAUGACUGCCCUGCCACUGAACUCUA